UACAGAGGUCUCAAGCGUUGUUCGGAUUCAUUGGGCGUAAAGGGUGUGUAGGUGGCGCCGUAAGUCGGGUGUGAAAUUUCGGAGCUUAACUCCGAAACUGCAUUCGAUACUGCGGUGCUUGAGGACUGGAGAGGAGACUGGAAUUCAUGGUGUAGCAGUGAAAUGCGUAGAGAUCAUGAGGAAGACCAGUGGCGAAGGCGGGUCUCUGGACAGUUCCUGACACUGAG
rnacentral:rRNA from 1 species